rnacentral:lncRNA from 1 species
CUGUUUCUCGUUUUAAAAAAAGAUGUCCUGGCCUUCCUGUUUUUAAUUUGUAGCGCUCUAGGGCUCCAGGAGAUAGAACACGGCAGCCAUGCCAUGCAGAUCGUGCAGAACAGCCGGUCNCCGUGAGCUGAGGCUUUCUCUCGCUGCCUGGGACGCCAGCAGAAACAGAAUGGCCGCUGUGCCGCUUGAGAAAGGGCAACGGGACAGCCAUGUGCUCCCGAAGACCCNCUUGGCUUCCUGGCUCAAAUUCACUCAGGAGUAGUUACAUCCUGUCACUAGUGAUCUUGGGCCAGGUCCUUCUUCCCAGCCCAGGGUACCUCACCGGGUUGUGCAGAUCACACAGAGGGGAGAAUUUCACGCUAACUUCAACUGAAGCAAAGGCAGUCUGUAAAUGCCANAAAUAAGCAGAGUGCCUUUUGUCCUCCUCUCAGGAACAUUUGGUUUAUUUCCGUCCUGCCCUCUUCUACCUCUCAAACAGGAUGAAGCGGAGAAGAAAGAGGAGAAGGAAAAGAAGAAGGAGCCUGAGCCGUCCUUCCAGCUCCUGGACAACCCAGCUCGGGUGAUGCCUGCCCAGCUCAAAGUCCUCACCAUGCCCGAGAGCUGUCGGUACCAGCCUUUCAAGACUCUUUCCAUUGGUGGCAUCAUUGUCUUGAGAGAUACCAGCGAGGACACAGAAGAACUGGUNGAGCCUGUGGCUGCGCACGGGCCGAAGAUCGAGGAGGAAGAGCAAGAACCGGAGCCACCGGAGCCAUUUGAAUACAUUGANGAUUAGGAUGCCGGGGGCCGACGGCAUCUCGCCACCACGUGUGAUCUUGGGAAACUGCCAGGAGGUUCUUGCUGCGGCCCUGCGGUUCCGUUCGUGCGCCUGUGCCGGCCAGCAGCAAGGCAGCCUGCAUUUUAUGGUUGACGAUGAAACCUGUGCUCUCUUUAAUGUACUCUUUCACAAAAAACUGGUUUUGAAAAUAAAUACAUUUUUAAAACCCAGUGGUUACCUUGUUCCUGGGCAUUUUUCCCCACUGGGAGAGGAGGAAGCGUUCAGUAAGAGUCCUAAAGCAGGUUUUAUUUGUAAUCCCCCUGAGGUUCCCUUCUUUGCAGUUUCAAGGUUGAACUGAAAAUUGGAAGUUUGGUCACGGAAGAAUUCAUGACUUGUGCCCUCGUAUCUAGCGCUUUCUCAAUCAGGAAUACUUAAAACCAGCCCAUAUAGGCCAAACCAUAGGGAAAACGCCAGGAUUCAUGGGGAAUUUCCAGGGCGCUUUGACAUAACGACUUGUGGCNCAGUGGUUAAGAGCGCCAGGCUCGAACGCAAAAGUUCCUCUGUUCAAAUCUCCGCUGCUCCAUGGAAGCUCGUUGGUCUUCUCAGCUAUGGGUAAANUAGCUUCACUGCCUUGUGAGUCUCUUGGGAAAGGCAAAUGCUAAAACAGAAAACCCUGUCAGAAAAUCCAGAAUGAACCCUCUAAUCUCUUCAGAAACAUCUGCACUUGUAAGUAAGUAAGUAAGUAAUUAAAUAAAUAAAUGUUUAUGCCACUUUAUAUCUGAAGU